rnacentral:misc_RNA from 1 species
AACGCACAUUGCGCCCAUUAGUAUUCUAGUGGGCAUGCCUGUUCGAGCGUCAUUAAAUCCAUUAAGCCUAGUUGCUUAGCGUUGGGAGCAUUACCGCACGGUAACUCCUCAAAGUCAGUGGCAGGGUUACGGUACACUCUAAGCGUAGUAGAUUUCUUUCUCGCUUCUGUUGUGGCCGUGGCCGUUGCCAUAAGCCUAUUAUUUUCUUGGUUGACCUCGGAUCAGGUAGGAAUACCCGCUGAACUUAA